UCCCUGUGUUCCCAUUAGAAUUUCUGGACUAGAAUCCUAGAGGGAACGUGACCAGGCCAUACAUAUGUGACUUGGCUGGGUAGUGUCACAUUCCCCUCCACAGGGCUUGUAUGCCUGUGUUCCUUCCAGCAGGACUUAACAGAGCCUGUGAAUGAAUGUGCAGCUCACCAACAGGCUGGAGUUAAAAUGUUGAGACUUCAUCAGUUUUCUUCUCACUGGGACGAGUUGCUCGUUCCUGUGUUCCAUUGUGUUCCUUUACCCAUCCUCACCCUUCCCAGGACUCCCAAACUACCUAUUGACACGUUGAAAGGAGUCUUCCACCCUCGGAGAAGGGUUUCUAGGACGUGACGGACACACCACCUCUUGGCCCUGCACUGUGAUCACGUUUAACUGUGACGGCAGAACUGGUCUGUAUCUCAACUGUCCAAACCAAUAGCUCCCAGGCAAUGUGGCUGACUGGUGACCCUAGGAAUAUAAAUUCAAUUUGCUUUGUUUUGAGACAGGGUUCUCUCUGUUCCCCAGGCUGGCCUCAAAUGCACAGGGGUUGGGAAUACAGUCAUGAGACAUGCCACCCAGUAACUAAAGCUGACUCUUCUCAACAGCGUGGCUUUGGCCACUUCCCAGCCUGGCUCUUCCCUUUCCACUCAGAACCUGAGAGAAGAUGCUGCACGUGCGAGCGGCCGGGAGGCCAGGUGAGAAGACAGCAGGUCUGAAUAGAGAGCUGUGGGGGGAGCCGCAGGCCGGGUCCUCCUUACAGAAUCCCCGUGGGAGCUCUGUGGGAGAAGGCCACCCCACAGGAGCCCCACUCCCGCCCCAGUGGCCAUCACAAUGGCAUUCAGGUUUUUGUCACAAUGCCACUGUGCGUCACAAUGCCACUGGCAGUGGGGGGCUGGUCUUUUUGUCUGCAGACCUAGUUACAGGCACUCAGCGUCAGAGGACCCUGUUUCCUGGGGACUGGAAAGGGGCCUCAAGAUGGAGACCUAUAGGAAGAAGUCGAACAGAUGUGGGGCUGGACGAACCCAGUCAGUCUCAGGACCCAGGGUCUGCAGGGACCAGCCGCCCGCCUGCAGGGAACAGGGAUUCUCCGUCAGCACUGAGCAGCUGCUGGUCUUCUUCCUGGCUCUCUGGUUCUUCUAUUUCUUCUACUUUCAAGACUAAUUGUGACAGAGCCUCCCUUCCAGCUGCUCAGGGGGUGGCUGAGGGUCAGAGCCUUGGCCCCCCAGGGCAGCUCACCUGUUCGCCUAGGGAAUGAGGACCCAGAGCCUGCAGCAGCCGCUGUGUGCCUGUCACCCCCAGCUGGCCUGCCUUCUGUUCUCAGAAGACCGGAGUGCCACAUGUCUCCAGCAGGUCCAGCCUUGUACCUCCACUGAGUACAUGACCCCAUUACCAGGCAAAGGCCAGGACAGCUAUGGAAGGCUGCCAGGUGGAGGCACUGUUGUGGCUGAGUCUUCUUGGUCAGUGGAGUGGAACUCCGCAUGUUUCCUGGGAAGGUGUUUUAGGGCUGGUUUCAGGCCCAGUCUCUAAUGACAAAUAAAAUGCCCAUGGGGCCAAAUAACA